AUGGGUAACCAUAAAUUUAACUUCUGCUGCUGGAACGUUCGAGGCCUCGGCCAGAGCGAGAAGUGCUCAGAUGUCCUCACUUAACUUUUAGCCAUUAACCCCCAUGCGUGCUUCCUUCAGGAAACUAAGCUCAGUUCCAUCAACACCCUUAAGCAAAACACUUUUCUCCCUAAGCAACUAGACCUCUCCCACUUUCUCGCAGCCUCCGGCUCUGCGGGUGGCAUGAUCUCGGCCUUCUCCUCCUCGCACUUCUCGCUCCUCACCGCGGCCCCGGCCACCUACACCUUAACCUCGUCGGUAUCCUGCCUCGCCUCCCCGAAUCUGCUUACCAUCACUAAUGUUUAUGCUCCCACGGACCAUACCCUGAAACCCUUCUUUCUGACUGAACUUGCAAACGUUGCUCCCUCGCCUUCCACGCCCUGGAUGAUCUUGGGAGAUUUCAACCUAAUGCGGGACCCCUAUGACAAGAAUACGCCUAACUUUAGGCAAGCCGAAGCAGACAUGUUCAACAAUUUCAUCCACCAACAUGCGCUGAUUGAACUCCCUCUCCUUGACCGCUGCUUUACCUGGUCUAGCUCUAGCAAUAGGGACAAACCCACUUUGGAAAAAAUUGACCGCGCCUUCAUUAAUGUUGAUUGGGACCUCCUCUUCCCAAACACCACGAUCGCCUCGCUAACUCGCUAUGUGUCAGACCACGUCCCUCCGUUCAUCACGAUCGACACCUUCAUCCUGCGCCCCGCCCUUUUUCGCUUCGAAAAUAGGUGUGCCGUUCGGCCGGCCUGCCACGUCGUAAUUCAAGCUGCUUGGGCUGCAGCCCACGCUCGUUCAAGCCAUGCUCUAACCCUUGCUGCCAUGCUCAAACGGUCGCGUGCUGCUUUGGCUAUUCCUCUCAAUUCGAGGGAAAAUAACUGCAAAGUAGUCAUCUCUGUUAUGGACAUCAUUGAAGAAUCUUGCUUCCUUUCUCCCCUUGAGCUUGCCCUCCGACGUGUCGUGAUCAAAGUUCUCCAGCGCACCCUCAGGGAAAAGGCCCUCUACUGGAUUCAACGAGGGAAAAUCCGUUUGACUAUGGAGGGAGAUGAAAACUCUCGCUACUUCCACGCAUCUGCUUCUGCCCGGCUCCGCAAAAACAAAAUUAAUGUGUUGGUCGACAAUGGGUUAGGGGCCUUUCGGAGGUUGGCCAGGGCUCAGCUUCCUCUCUUAUGUAUCCUGUCUUGCGUCAGGCUGGGGCCGAGCUGA
rnacentral:rRNA from 1 species